ensembl:lncRNA
CAUCAGAACCUCUGGGGAUGUCCUGUGGAUUAUGUGGAUCCUAUGGGUUGCAGGGUGGGUCCUACCUAGACCAGGCUGAUCCUGGACCAUCCCACAGGUGCUCAAUCAGAUCCUGGAUGUGGGGAGUGUGGAACCCAGAUGUUCAGAGGGAGAUGAUGCCACAUCUGGUCCAGCUGAUGGAAGGUCUUGAAGUUCUCUGACUGGCCUUGACUGAAGAUGGUCGUCUCACUGGAUUUAAGGUUCAGAUGCUCAGUAACAAACUCCACCAAUGUGCCAACAGGGAAGCUUUAGGUUUAUUAAUUGUUGCUAUGAAGGUUUCGCUGUUUUUCUUUGUGAAUGCAAUGUGCUCCAACUGAAACUUGAAUUAGAACUUAGAAGUAAAUCCUUCCAUCUGAAAGGAUUUAGUUGCAUUAAUAACCUCAUAACAUUCUAAUUUUUAUUCCAGUCUUGGUUGGAAAUAGAAUCUCUGUAUUGAUUCAGGUAAAAACUGAACUUCACAGCAUGUUGGAGCAAAACAACCAGAUGAAAACUGUGAUGGUGUUGGAUUGUCAGACUGUAAUGUUGCAGCUCAAAGCAGCUUUUCUAUCUCAGUUCAUUCUGACAUUCAGCUAUGAAUCAACACAGCAGAUGGUGAUCCAUGCUGUGGAAGUCUCACAUCUCCUGAUUUAAUGGAGCUGCUUUGCACUUUUUACACUGUUUAUUCACCAACACUUUAUUUAAUAAAAGUCCCAUCUAGUUUUUAUGAGGAAUGUGAUGUUUUAAUUUCUCUGUGAAUAACUGCAGUCUAAUGCAACACCUGGAGUUGUAACAUCUGUCCUGAUAUUGAUCAUGAAGUAUUGAUCAGAAUACUUAUGGUUAGCAGUCAUCCCUGAAGUUUUACAUUGAAAUCUUUACUUGUGUUGUGAACUUUGGUAAGAAGCAGAAACUUUUGCGUUGCCAUGGAUACAUGAGUGUUAAAUUCUGUCCAUGUUUCCAUUUUGGGAAAUGCAGUCCAGUUCCAGAAUGUGGAGGAAUUUAGUCUCACGAUCACAGACAACAAAUAUUAUCUGAAAGUUGGGUUAUUGUUGUUUAUCAGCACAAUACAAAAAGAUUAAUGUUAGAAAUAUCCCAGUUAAGACUCUAGAAUAUCAUGAUUUAUGUAAAUUUACCUCAAUAAUAUGAAUGUUCAGGUUAAGAUUGUACAGUGAUAUUUAUUAUGUAAGUUUAGCUGAUUAAAGUUUAUGACUCUGCACUAAAAUAUUAUUUAAAUUGACAUCAUUAUUAUAAUAUUUAGGGUCAGACCCUACAGUAUUGAGAUUAAGAAAUCAAAUAUUCUAUAAAAUGUAAAUACACUGAACUCAUUUGGAUAUAUUUAAGUGAGACUCUACAACAUUAUUUGACACAAAUCUGUCUAAUUCAAAAUUUUAAUAAUUUUCACGCCAAACAUUUACUGGACUGAUUUAAAUAUUAAAAUCACUCCUUUCUAAUCCUCUGCUGUACGUUCAAACCUGAGGCCUUAAAUAGAAACACACAAGUAUCUGAUUGAAGGAACUUCUGCAGAGUCCUGGUUCCAGAACACGAUGAUAGAAUUAUAGACAAACUUUAACAAAAGCUGCCUGAGAGUUUACAGGUUUUGAUGUUAGAUUUCUUCAGUAAUUUAAUGAGAGUUAUCAGCAAAAAUCAAGUGUUCAUUUGAUGAACUUCAUUUCCUGAAACAUCCAGAAUUGGAGCUCAUAUCUUUGGCAGCUGUAAAGUUUCUGCUCCUUCAAAGUUCACAACACAAUGAAUGAAUUCAUAAAACACUCUCAAUGCUGGAGAGCGUUUGUGAUGCUGAAGCAGUGAGCAGUUUUUCUGUUUCUUCUCUGGAGAUGCACAAUGAGGGACGUCUGCAGCGACUGAGAAAGAGUCUCACCACAUCCUGUCAUGAGGAAAAAGACUUUAUUGAAGACUACAAUGAGAAAAACUACCAGACAGCAGACGGCUGCAUUCAAGUCUGUAGCUGCUGAAUUCAUGGAUGAAUCAUCUGGCACUAGAGAAGAAGACCAUCAAACAUCCACGUCAGCUGAUGGAGGUCCAAGAGUCUCACCGAACAACCAACAGAGUGAAGACCUCGAAUCUGAUUGGACGGCCUCCUAUUCAGCCACAUGUGUGAACAAAAGCCUCUAAGCUGAUUUGUUUCCUAAAUUAAAUCCAGUUUUGAGUCCUAAUCUAUGCCUGUGUGUUUGCUUCUUUACACUGCUGUUAACAGUUUAGGCUGUUAGAUUGUUCCAGAUAAGACAAGUACAAGAUUCUUCAGAGCCGUUCUACCACGAGCCUGACAGGAAGAACUCCAACAGUUACUGAAUGUUCCUGUGGUCCCCUCAAGGCUACAGGAGGAGUCCUACAAGGACGAGGCGGUCCACCUGUUGGCAGCCAGUUGCUGCGGUUGAAAGCCAACACUGACUACGUGGACUUCUACUGGACCACACGGAGGCCUUCAAACUGGACCAAAAAGUUCACCGACUCCCCGACUCGUGGGUCUGAGGACAGUGGUAUAUUCUUCCGAACCAACUUCUCAGGUCUACAUUUCAGGUGGAAUAUUCCUCCAUACUAACUUUUUUUGGUCUACAUUGAAGGAUUUUUUUCUAAACCACCCUUUCGGGUCUAUAUUUGGGGUUUUAGGUGGAAUAUUCCUUUUAACCAGCCCCUCAGGUCUCUUUGAGGAUUUUGGAUGGAAUACUCGGUUAAACCAACAUUUUAGGUGCAUGUCCAAGAAUUUUUGGUGGAAUGUUCCUUUAAGGUGGAUGUGUGAGGACCUUGUAGGUGGAAUACUUCCUGAAGCCAACCUUUUAGGUCAACAUUCAAAGAUUUAAGGUGGAAUAUUCCUUUAAAUCGACCUAAAUGUCAU